rnacentral:lncRNA from 1 species
GGGGACUCGGCCGCCAUGUUAGGAGUGCCGGGAACAGUCCGCGGAUCCUGGCUGAGGUUUUAGGCAGCGCGCGAGCCGAAUGGUGGUGCGGUGGGGACGAGUGUCUACACUAUGAAAGAUGGAAAAUUUCUUUUUCUCCUGAGGUACAACAAUGGGAAAGGCUCAUACAAAUAUUUCUGGUAUUCAGAAACACCUUUGCAAGUAAUUGUGGUUUGGGUAAUUGUUGGACUAGAAAAUAUUUCUUUGCAACAAGGUUUAACUGGCAAAAUAAAUGGAAAGAUGGCAGCAAAAGAAGGGAAUCGCUAAGACUGGACACAGAUGCCAAAAUUUAAAAAGUACUUCUGCAUACGUAUAUUCAGUGAAAAAUCAAACUCUACCACAUGGACAAGCAUUGCUUAAUUAAGGUGUGUAAUACAGUUUUGGGGGUUUUUUUUUAGGGAAAUGAACAAAUUAUAUCUUCAUCUAAAGCAUUUGAUUAAAGAAAUUAAGCCCUACAGUACUCUAUUAUAGACAUCCAAAGUAUCAAUAUUUGGGGGCACAGUUUCAAUCCUAAAUCCAUUUCUUAGAUUCUGUAAGUACAUAUUGAGUAAUUACCAACUUAAAUACCCUGGAGAUACAAAGAUGACUAUGAC